CAAAAACUCCCUCUAUCCGGAAAUACUUGUCAUCAAAAUGGAUAAAAGGAAAUGUAUCUAGACGUAUUUUAGUUUUAGAUACAUCUCUUUUUAUCCAUUUUGAUGACAAGUAUUUUCGGACGGAGGGAGUAGAAA
rfam:Triticum aestivum genome assembly, contig: Triticum_aestivum_CS42_TGACv1_scaffold_384585_5AL